GUGACUCAAAAAUGACACUUUCAUCUACAAAGUUGUCUGAGCCAUUAAUCUGGGCAUCCCUCUCUUGCCCCUUGCAUCCAAUCACCCACCAAGUCCUACUAAUUCCGCUGCCCAAGGGCUGGCUCCCUCCCCGCAGUCUCUUAAGUUCCAUUGGUAUUCCCCUUGUCCAUUGUCUGUUGCCUAGGUUGCUCCAACAAUCCCGCAUUGUUCUACCACCUCCAAGCUGCCCACCAACCAUGCUCUGAUGCAUUUGUAGUCUUUCAAAUGUGCACUUCUGCCUGGCGGCCUCCUCCUGGCUUCAGCCUUGAACCUCACCUUGAUUGCCACUUCCUUUGGGGAAACUCCUCUGAUGCUUUCCCUGGUGUAGGUAGCUCCCCCGCCUGAUGCCAUCACACCGUGGAACAGCCACAUUUCACUGUUAGGUCCUGGCCUCCCACAUCAGACUCUGAGCUCUACAAGGGCAGGCCUGUGCACCUGUGAUUCCACUUCCACCAUGUAGAUGAGGGCAAAGCCCCAUGACAGUGGUUCUUAAACUUGGCUGCUAUUGGAGUCAAUGUGUAGCCAAGUUUGGGAACUGCUGCUUUAGAAGAUGCCACAGAAACACGAUGGAAGGAACCUGUGACCCUGGAUGACUGUAUGAAGCAGAUCAUCCUGCCAACUGGGAACAUCCACCUUGAACAGUUACGUAAGAGAGACAUCACCUCUAUCUUACCUACCCUCACAAAUGCCAUGGAGAUGCCUGAGGAGUAGAAGGAAAAUCUGAUUAUCACCUGGAGGCCUGGACUGUCAACCGUUGGUCAGGAAAGGCAAAGGCACCAGCAAUUGCUUGCUUGUAAACACACAUGCACACACAUGCACAGCUCACACACUUUUGCUGCACAGUUCUCCCUGUCCCAGUCACCAUUAAAGCAGCAAUCAGCUAAAGCCACAGUUUUCCUGGCUUCCCACCAGGCUCUGAUUAAGAGAGAACUUCUCCACCCACCUUCCUCACUCCAAGGAAGGCUGAGCGCCAGCUUCCUCCUUUACAUUCUCUUCCUGUUCCUAUAAAGCAAUUAAAGUUUCCUGUAGACUUCACCUUUCCUAUCUUCUCUCGUAGAACUUGGCUCAUAUUUUUGUCUUGUUCUGAACCCACAAGUUUCUCCUUCUAGUUCAGAAGAUGAAAAAAAUCCCAUGAUUCAGCUGACCACCUGUAGGGAGGGGGCUCCUACCUAAGUCCCUGGUGUAAAAUUCAAGUAGAAUCCUGCACCACUGCUGCUUGGAAGUUGGAGGCCAAGCAAGCUUAGUAGCCUUGGAGUUUAGAAAUGGGGCUCCUUGCAAGCAGAGACCUCAGGAUGAGGAGUGCCUUCUAAGGAGAGGAAACCGUGGCCAUUCCCCAGAGAGGCAAAGUGGCAGACCCUGAGUCCAGGACCAUGGACAGGGAAGAGCAGGCCCGAGAAGCAUGUGGACGAGAAGGAAGAUAACUCCCUGAGUAGAUGGCCCAGACUGGGUGGUUAGCACUGAGUGAAAGCACCUCAGGCAUGGUACCUAUCAAAGAAGAGAUGAUACCUCUUAGGGAUCUGGGAUCAAAAAAAAGAAUGUCAACAAAAACAACAUGUGGGACAAUACAAGCAACACAGGGAAAUGUCCUAGCCAUAAUGUGACUUUUAUCCCAUAGGACAAAGCAUGCUACAGUUCCAUGAGGGAGGUGCUGCCACCCAAGCUGUAGUACUGAGCUCCUUCCUGCUCUCUAUGUGACCCUAACCAGUCAACUGGGCUUCUCUGAACUUCAGUUUCUUUAUCCACAAAAUUAGUAUGAUGGUAAUAGCUUUCCUAGUGACUUUACUAUGGUGUUAAUAAAAUCAAGAUGAUGUAUAUGAGGGUAAAUAGUAAAACAUAAUUUGUGAUAAAUAUUUCACAUCUCUGGUUUUCUACUGGCUUCAGAUGAAAUUUCGUUGCUGAGUAGUGAGACUUCAGUAUAGAAGCUACUCAUCAAAUAUUUGCUGGAGCACUGUUGAUUUUGUUGUUUAAAAAAAGCAGUUAAGUAAACGCAG
rnacentral:lncRNA from 1 species